rnacentral:rRNA from 1 species
CCUACGGGAGGCAGCAGUAGGGAAUCUUUCACAAUGGGCGAAACCCUGAAGGAGCAACGCCGCGUGCAGGAUGAAGGCCUUCGGGUUGUAAACUCCUUUUGUAAGAGAAGAUAAUGAUGGUAUCUAAUGAAUAAGCAUCGGCUAACUACGUGCCAGCAGCCGCGGUAAUACGGAGGAUCCGAGCAUUAUCCGGAGUGACUGGGUGCAAAGAGUUGGCUGGGUGGCAUAAUAAGUAGCUAGGAAAAUCUGGGGGUUAAACCUAUCAGACUAUUAGUUAAACUGUUAAGCUCGAGACCGUUAGGGGUAACUGGAAUUCUUAGUGUAGGAGUGAAAUCCGUAGAUAUUAGAAGGAAUACCAAUAGCGAAGGCAGGUUACUGGGACGGUUCUGACACUAAGGCACGAAAGCGUAGGGAGCAAACGGGAUUAGAUACCCUGGUAGUC